UACGGAGGGUGCAAGCGUUAUUCGGAUUUACUGGGCUUAAAGGGUGCGUAGGCGGGUCUGUAAGUCUGUGGUGAAAUCUCCGAGCUUAACUUGGAAACUGCCAUGGAUACUAUAGAUCUUGAAUACUGUGGAGGUUAGCGGAAUAUGUCAUGUAGCGGUGAAAUGCUUAGAUAUGACAUAGAACACCAAUUGCGAAGACAGCUGGCUGCACAAAUAUUGACACUGAUGCACGAAAGCGUGGGGAUCAAACAGG
rnacentral:rRNA from 1 species